AUGGUGCUUCUUUACAAGGCGCUGGUUGGUGGAUCCAUGGUUCACCAACCCCGCCAGAGGCUAGUGGAUAUAUACAGGCACGUCGAGGCUGUGGGUGGACGUACACUCGAUCGAACCAACUCAUUCCUUCCUACCACCCCCGGCACCACCAGCCCAAGCAGAGCCAUGGCGCCCAGCGGAGACAACACCGUGGCCAACGUCCACAGCGGCAUCGACAGCACCAACAAGACGCUGCUCAAGAGCGACGCCCUCUACACCUACAUCCUCGACACCACCGUGUUCCCCCGCGAGCACGAGUGCAUGCGCGACCUGCGCCUCAUCACGGACAAGCACCCAUGGGGCUACAUGCAGUCGUCCUCGGACGAGGCGCAGCUGCUGGGGAUGCUGAUCAAGAUGGCGGGCGCCAAGAAGACGAUCGAGGUGGGCGUGUUCACGGGCUACUCGCUGCUGGCCACCGCGCUGGCGCUCCCGGAGGACGGCAAGGUGGUGGCCAUCGACACCGACCGCGAGUGCUACGAGGUGGGCCGCCCCUUCAUCGAGAAGGCCGGCAUGGCGCACAAGGUGGACUUCCGCGAGGGCACCGGCCUGGAGCGCCUGGACGAGCUCCUCGUCGAGGACGACGGCGCGGCGAGCUACGACUUCGCGUUCGUGGACGCGGACAAGCCCAACUACGUGCGCUACCACGAGCAGCUGCUGAAGCUGGUCCGCGUCGGCGGCACCAUCAUCUACGACAACACGCUGUGGGGCGGCACGGUGGCCCUGCCGGCGGGCACGCCCAUGUCCGACCUCGACACCCGCUUCUCCGCCGCCCUCAGGGACCUCAACGCCAAGCUCGCCGCCGACCCGCGCAUCGAGGUCUGCCAGCUCGCCAUCGCCGACGGCGUCACCAUCUGCCGCCGCAUCGUCUAG
rnacentral:rRNA from 1 species